rnacentral:rRNA from 1 species
UACGAAGGGUGCAAACGUUGCUCGGAAUUAUUGGGCGUAAGGCGCACGUAGGCGGCUUUGCAAGUCGGAUGUGAAAUCCCUCGGCUUAACCAAGGAAGUGCAUCCGAAACUGCAGAGCUUGAGUACUUAAGAGGAUCGCGGAAUUCCCGGUGUAGAGGUGAAAUUCGUAGAUAUCGGGAGGAACACCAGUGGCGAAGGCGGCGAUCUGGGAAGAUACUGACGCUGAGGUGCGAAAGCGUGGGGAGCAAACAGG